rnacentral:rRNA from 1 species
GUGGAUUGCACCAGAAGUAGAUAGUCUAACCUUAGGGUAGGGCGUUUACCACGGUGUGCUUCAUGACUGGGCUGAAGUCGUAACAAGGUAGCCGUUAGGGGAACCUGUGGGCUGGAUCACCUCCUU